rnacentral:rRNA from 1 species
ACUUCAAGUCUCCUGAAGGAACGUUGAAGACGACGACGUUGAUAGGUCGGGUGUGUAAGCGCAGCGAUGCGUUGAGCUAACCGAUACUAAUGAACCGUGAGGCUUAACCUU